AUGGCUCAUGAUGAACGCUGGCGGCGUGCCUAAUACAUGCAAGUCGAACGAGUUCUGAUUAUUGAAAGGUGCUUGCAUCUUGAUUUAAUUUUGAACGAGUGGCGGACGGGUGAGUAACACGUGGGUAACCUGCCCUUAAGUGGGGGAUAACAUUUGGAAACAGAUGCUAAUACCGCAUAAAUCCAAGAACCGCAUGGUUCUUGGCUGAAAGAUGGCGUAAGCUAUCGCUUUUGGAUGGACCCGCGGCGUAUUAGCUAGUUGGUGAGGUAACGGCUCACCAAGGCAAUGAUACGUAGCCGAACUGAGAGGUUGAUCGGCCACAUUGGGACUGAGACACGGCCCAAACUCCUACGGGAGGCAGCAGUAGGGAAUCUUCCACAAUGGACGCAAGUCUGAUGGAGCAACGCCGCGUGAGUGAAGAAGGCUUUCGGGUCGUAAAACUCUGUUGUUGGAGAAGAAUGGUCGGCAGAGUAACUGUUGUCGGCGUGACGGUAUCCAACCAGAAAGCCACGGCUAACUACGUGCCAGCAGCCGCGGUAAUACGUAGGUGGCAAGCGUUAUCCGGAUUUAUUGGGCGUAAAGCGAGCGCAGGCGGUUUUUUAAGUCUGAUGUGAAAGCCCUCGGCUUAACCGAGGAAGUGCAUCGGAAACUGGGAAACUUGAGUGCAGAAGAGGACAGUGGAACUCCAUGUGUAGCGGUGAAAUGCGUAGAUAUAUGGAAGAACACCAGUGGCGAAGGCGGCUGUCUGGUCUGUAACUGACGCUGAGGCUCGAAAGCAUGGGUAGCGAACAGGAUUAGAUACCCUGGUAGUCCAUGCCGUAAACGAUGAAUGCUAGGUGUUGGAGGGUUUCCGCCCUUCAGUGCCGCAGCUAACGCAUUAAGCAUUCCGCCUGGGGAGUACGACCGCAAGGUUGAAACUCAAAGGAAUUGACGGGGGCCCGCACAAGCGGUGGAGCAUGUGGUUUAAUUCGAAGCAACGCGAAGAACCUUACCAGGUCUUGACAUCUUUUGAUCACCUGAGAGAUCAGGUUUCCCCUUCGGGGGCAAAAUGACAGGUGGUGCAUGGUUGUCGUCAGCUCGUGUCGUGAGAUGUUGGGUUAAGUCCCGCAACGAGCGCAACCCUUAUGACUAGUUGCCAGCAUUUAGUUGGGCACUCUAGUAAGACUGCCGGUGACAAACCGGAGGAAGGUGGGGAUGACGUCAAAUCAUCAUGCCCCUUAUGACCUGGGCUACACACGUGCUACAAUGGAUGGUACAACGAGUUGCGAGACCGCGAGGUCAAGCUAAUCUCUUAAAGCCAUUCUCAGUUCGGACUGUAGGCUGCAACUCGCCUACACGAAGUCGGAAUCGCUAGUAAUCGCGGAUCAGCACGCCGCGGUGAAUACGUUCCCGGGCCUUGUACACACCGCCCGUCACACCAUGAGAGUUUGUAACACCCGAAGCCGGUGGCGUAACCCUUUUAGGGAGCGAGCCGUCUAAGUGGGACAAAUGAUUAGGGU
rnacentral:rRNA from 2 species